rnacentral:rRNA from 1 species
UAGGGAAUCUUCGGCAAUGGGGGGAACCCUGACCGAGCAACGCCGCGUGAGUGAAGAAGGUUUUCGGAUCGUAAAGCUCUGUUGUUAAGGAAGAACGAGUGUGAGAAUGGAAAGUUCAUACUGUGACGGUACUUAACCAGAAAGGGACGGCUAACUACGUGCCAGCAGCCGCGGUAAUACGUAGGUCCCGAGCGUUGUCCGGAUUUAUUGGGCGUAAAGCGAGCGCAGGCGGUUAGAUAAGUCUGAAGUUAAAGGCAGUGGCUCAACCAUUGUAGGCUUUGGAAACUGUUUAACUUGAGUGCAGGAGGGGAGAGUGGAAUUCCAUGUGUAGCGGUGAAAUGCGUAGAUAUAUGGAGGAACACCGGUGGCGAAAGCGGCUCUCUGGUCUGUAACUGACGCUGAGGCUCGAAAGCGUUGGGAGCGAACAGG